rnacentral:rRNA from 1 species
UACAUGGGGUGCAAACGUUGCUCGGAAUUAUUGGGCGUAAAGCGCACGUAGGCGGUUCGUUAAGUCGGAUGUGAAAGCCCUCGGCUCAACUGAGGAAGUGCACCCGAAACUGGCGAGCUUGAGUACGAAAGAGGAUCGCGGAAUUCCCGGUGUAGAGGUGAAAUUCGUAGAUAUCGGGAGGAACACCGGUGGCGAAGGCGGCGAUCUGGGUCGAUACUGACGCUGAGGUGCGAAAGCGUGGGGAGCAAAUGGG